rnacentral:rRNA from 1 species
GAUCAUGGCUCAGGAUGAACGCUAGCUACAGGCUUAACACAUGCAAGUCGAGGGGAAACGGAUAUUGGAAGCUUGCUUCCGAUAGGCGUCGACCGGCGCACGGGUGAGUAACGCGUAUCCAACCUGCCCAUCACUUGGGGAAUAACCUUGCGAAAGUAAGACUGAUGCCCAAUGACAUUUAUAGAAGGCAUCGGAAUGAAUUAAAGAUUUAUCGGUGAUGGAUGGGGAUGCGU